UGACUCUAGCUGCAUAUGUAUCAAAAGAUGACCUAGUCAGCCAUCAGUGGAAAGAGAGGCCCAUUGGCUGCAAGUUGCUGGUCUCUGGCCCGUCCACACCUUGUCAUUCUGUCCCUGCAGCCUGCACUUGCUUUUCCUGGGUCGAGUGUGUUUCCUGAGGGGCUACAGAAAACACAUUGUCCUAAGUCGGCUUUCUUAUGAAUCCCAGGUAUCCUUUAAAGAAGAGAGGACUAAUCUAUUCAGCACUCAACCCUCAGAGCCUACUUUCCACUUCUGUUCUGCUUGGUUGUGCCUUUGGAACAUGUGAGCAAAGCCUGCAAUGAGGACCAGUAGGAGCACCUGCCUGUGUAUGAAGACGGCCUUCUAGGAAGCCUUCAGUACACCUCAAACACCAGAACCACCCUCAAAAUCUCAGAGAUGCACCAACUCAUAUCGAUGCAGAAUACGCUGUACUGAUAAAAUUCAGUGGGCUGGGUAGAUUUUAGACCCCUUACUUACCAGCACAGGAAAUCUUGGAAACUUUAGUAUAAUAAUACUAAAGAAAGGAAGCUAUUUGGGCCUCAACUAUGGCUGUGAAUAUACCUUGGGAAUGAAGAAAGGAGGGAGUGGUAGGAGUUCUGG
ensembl:lincRNA Gm13985 predicted gene 13985